AAAGAGAGGUCACCCUAUGUGGGAAAGAAGCAGGGAGUGACUUAGAGAAGGUUCGUGAUUCAAGGAGUUCUCUGUGGAUGCUGUGAGAGGACCCAUUUAAGAAGAGGAAAUGAGAUGGGGAGGACCGUGAGGGGCCUGCAGAAAUCCUGUCAAGAAUGCUGAGGCUGGUAACUGAUAUCGCUUAGCAUCAGGGUUCUCUGUCCAUGUGGGCUGUGGCCAUGGCGUUGAUGCUGUACCUUUGCUGGAAACAGCAGGAAGUGGAACUGAGAGAGAACUGGCUGUCUGCUGGCAGAUGCCUCAUUCACCUACUAAGUGAAAGUUUACAGAUAACAAACCUGGAGCUCACAAAGGUUAUUCUGGAUUGAAUCCUGGAGUUUAUCUGAGGCCCAAGGAGUUGAAGCACCAUUGUAAUGGGGGACUCAUGUGAGACUCUUCAGGACCUUGAAUGGCCACUGUUCUGUAAGAAGGGUCUAAAUUACCAGGACAUGGAUGGACAGAGUUCAAUGAAUCAUUGGGAUUCUUGACCUUUUCAUGAGCAGGUGGCACUUGGGAAGAAAAAAUCCUUCUUGGUGAACAAAACUGAGCUCGGGGUCUUGUUCAUUUGAAUACUAAAAGAGAUGUGUUUUGUUUUGUAUCUCAAGUUCCUCAUUACAAUAGGCCUGG